GAUGAACGCUAGCUACAGGCUUAACACAUGCAAGUCGAGGGACCGGCGCACGGGUGAGUAACACGUAUCCAACCUGCCCUUUACUCGGGGAUAGCCUUUCGAAAGAAAGAUUAAUACCCGAUGUAAAGUAUGGGGAUGCGUUCCAUUAGGUUGUUGGUGAGGUACCGGCUCACCAAGCCUUCGAUGGAUAGGGGUUCGGAGUGGAAGGACCACCAGAUUGGAACGGGGACACAGUCCAAACUCGUACGGGGGGCAGCAGUGAGGAAUAUUGGGCGAUGAGCGCGGGCCUGAACCAGCCAAGUAGCGGGCAGGAGGACGGCCUAUGGGUUGUAAACUGGUUAUGUAUGGGGAGAGGUACCAUACGAAUAAGGACCGGCUAAUUCCGUGCCAGCAGCCGCGGUAAUUC
rnacentral:rRNA from 1 species